CACCAACAUUUCUUACACAUUAGCACUAAGGGAACACUGAAUGACCUGCUGGUUUUUGUCCGUAAAACUACUCAUCUAAGUCUGUGAAGGUUCUCAGUCAUCCAGGUCAUCGUAGUCAAAGGAGUUUGCAAAGAAAAGCGUCUGGACUUCUUUAAGUUGCUUGAAGACGUUUCACCUCUCAUCCGAGAAGCUUCUUCAGUUCUAAGGUCAAAUGGCCGAGAGUCCCAGAUUUAAACCCAGUGGGAGUUUCCCCCCAAAGAGGGACAAAGGACCCCCUGGUGAUGCUCUAAUCACAUGAGCCAAGGUGUGAAAACGGGUGUGGGACCUGGCUGAUAGGGCUUUGGAGUUGACGUCACUGGGGGUGGGCCACGCCCCCUUUCCGCCAUGACAGUAGGCUAGACACAGGAUACAGCUUCAGCUAUGGUUCGUACGUGUUGUGUUAUCAGUUGCAACGUUUGAUCACACGAUCGUGAAGGCAAGAAGCUGGAUAAUGGGCUCUCUUUUCAUCGUUUUUCAACCUGGAGGCAACGUGAGGGAUCCCAUGUAUCCGAUAUUACUAAACAAAGACGUCAGGCUUGCAUUGCAGCGGUGAGACGAGCGGAUCGAGUUCUGUGCAAUCCCCAGCUUUUUGUUGGUUUGGUCUCUGCAUCUUCUUUCCGGUACUGCACUCACAACAACUGAAUGAAACUGCACUGUGACCUCGUUGUGUGGACACAGAGAGACCUUCUGUCAUACGCAUCUUCCCUGAUGUGGAUUUCUGGGAACCACGUUUAAAGCAAGCACAAGACUUCUUUCUUAAAGUGUGUCUUCCUGAACUUGUUGGGAAAUACUUCUCCAAACAAUGUGCUGCUCUAAAUAGCCUGUAAUGUUUCAUUUUGUGGUUCAAGAUUGAUGCCAGCUGUGUGUUGCCAUCUAAAUAGUGUCAGGGGUGUCGUGUGUGGAGGCGAGGAAAGGAUGACCCAAACGCUGGACUCACGGUGCAGGAUGAUCGGGGUUUAUUGAAAGCAGGCUGGAUGAACAGAACACGAACUGAAAUGGCUGACUGAGUGGACGACUGACUGAAGAACUGAAUGGCUGGCUGACUGAUCUGAACAUACGACAUUAACAUCACGAGAACAUCAGGAUCACAGGAACAUCAUACGAACAUCAAUGACACGACAAGGAAUGAGUAGAAACAGAGGACUUAAAUACACAGACUGAUGAGGAUGAUAAUGAGAGACCGGUGAGUACAC
rnacentral:lncRNA from 1 species